CGAAUAUUUUAAACGCCAAGGAAUGCCAUUCAUUUAACCAGUAGUACAACGGACGUCCGAAAUAAUUUAAGCCUGAAAAUGACAAAUAAAAUUUUUCACGUUGCAGAAAUGUUGAAAAACUAUGAUAUAAUGCUGAGGUCAGAGAUCGAAAGUAACUGGUGCUGCAAUAUAAGAGACGAUAUCGAUGAGAUUACUUCGAGCCAUCAUGAUUUGAAGAAGUACAUAACUGCACAGAUGACCGGUUCAAUGCGAUGGGG
rnacentral:misc_RNA from 1 species